rnacentral:rRNA from 1 species
UAGAGUUUGAUCAUGGCUCAGAUUGAACGCUGGCGGCAGGCCUAACACAUGCAAGUCGAGCGGUAACAUUUCAAAAGCUUGCUUUUGAAGAUGACGAGCGGCGGACGGGUGAGUAAUGCCUGGGAAUUUGCCCAUUUGUGGGGGAUAACAGUUGGAAACGACUGCUAAUACCGCAUACGCCCUACGGGGGAAAGCAGGGGAACUUCGGUCCUUGCGCUGAUGGAUAAGCCCAGGUGGGAUUAGCUAGUAGGUGGGGUAAUGGCUCACCUAGGCAACGAUCCCUAGCUGGUCUGAGAGGAUGAUCAGCCACACUGGGACUGAGACACGGCCCAGACUCCUACGGGAGGCAGCAGUGGGGAAUAUUGCACAAUGGGGGAAACCCUGAUGCAGCCAUGCCGCGUGUGUGAAGAAGGCCUUCGGGUUGUAAAGCACUUUCAGCGAGGAGGAAAGGG